AUUAGAUGUAUGUUUCACUAUAAUACGUUAUUCUGAUUGGCUAACUGCACAUCACGUGUCAUUCCGUAAGCAAUUGCAUUACUCAAUAAAACUUUCAUUCAUGAUAACACGAGGUGCCACAAUAAAGUGCACAGGUGAAUUAAAUAAAAAAUUGAUAAAAUUCGUGUUUUCAUGAUCCUAGCCAAAAAAUGUAAUUAUAAGUAUUGAAUGCUUCUUUUUGUAACUUCAUAGGGUUGUAAAAGCGUUGACC
rnacentral:lncRNA from 1 species